GCGGAAUCCCGGCCAAGAUGAGGAUGACAGCGGCCACUCCCCUGACAUCUUCCCAGCAGAAGAGCUGGCACCCAGGCAGAGAGCAGUUGGCCUCUGCCCACCCCUCUCCCUUUGUCCAGGGCCUGAAUACCUGCAGGUCAUCCUAGCAGCAAAGCUGGCAUCAAGGAAGAGCUGCCCUACCAGCCCAUGUGGUUUGGCGGCGGACGGCCCAUUGUACAACCCAGCUGUAUUGCUGGUUACGGGGCAGAGCGUCGAUGGCCUCUGCCCACCAAGUAACCCCAACUCCCUGCCAGGGAGCACAAGAGAGAUCGGGGAUGAUGGACACCCACUCAGCAACCUGAGACAUACAGGACAGAGCCGAACAACAGAAGUAACCACCAGGUCCAGUACUUGUUUAUGGGCUACUUGACUAAGUCUUACCUUGGUGGGGGGGGGAAAUGUGAUAAACUGAACCUCGUCACGGGUUCUUGGAGGUGCCUGCUGGCCAGCUUCUUACCUCAGAACUAUGGGCCCUGCAAUAUACCUUGCCCAAUGCAAUUAAAAAGGCUCUGUUCAUGUGAGUUAUGUACUUUUGUACUCCAGAAAGAGAGACUGACCGUUAGCCCUGAUUCCCUGGAACUGUUUUCGGCACAGGACCAUGUGCACGGUCGGUCAAAAAUAAGACUUCCAGGAAAUUCCUGAACCACUGAACUGAUCUGGG